CGCGCCAUUGGCUGAGUCAGUUUGUUUGAAAUUCAACCCGCGUAACCGUUUCUUUUUUUCUUUUUUUUUUUUUUUUACUGAGUCUCGUAACGACUGCUGCUCAGUGCGUUUUCAUUGUCGUCGUCCACUUAAGCUUCAAUGUUUGGCAGAGAGAAAAGAAGCCCAGCCUGCCCGUCGCUGAUCGUGACAGCAGUCAGUGUGAGAAGAGGGAGAGAAUGAGGGAGAGUCAAGCUGCCAGCAGCGGCAAAAAGCAGUGCAGCUCCCACCCCUUUUAACCAGGUUCAGAUGAAGACAGCCAGAGUGUUCGUGAAGGGGAUAAUGAUCCAUCAUCAUCAGAACCAGAGUCACCAAGCAGUUCUUCUGGCCCAAUAGAACCUGAUGACAUUUCCCAGUAUGGAGCAGAGGGUUCUGUCCAGUCAUCAAAGAAUUAUUCUGGUCCCCUAGGACCUGAUGGCCAAACCCAAGUUACCCAGCAUGCCAGUCUUCUGAAGAAGACAUAAUCAAACCUCGUACUGCUCCCACCAGCUCCACCGGCACCACCAACUUCUAUACUCUUCUAUACUUGACUCGAGAAGGCUGACAGUUACUCUUAAGCAUUGGUUUUAAGCUUUCAUGUAUCACUGUAACAAAUUUGAUAUUAUUGCAUAAGUUGUUAAAGUAAACAAAUUGUUACAAAAAUGCAAUAAAAUACACAACUGUAAAUGUACUGUGAUUAAUCAGCGCUCAUAUGUUUGUUACAUUUUUCCAAAAGAUUAUACUCUGUCUCUCUGUCUCUCUCUCUCUCUCUCUCUCUCUCUCUCUCUCUCUCUCUCUCUCUAUUUAAUGUUUGUUUAAUAAACUUUGUUGUAGAUCCAGGUUAGUGGGGCCCCUGAGGGGAUUGAUUCAGACUUAUUGUGUUCUAAUGUGGUUCUAUAUUUGUUUUUGUUUUUUUUUUUUUGUUUUUAAUAAAAUAUGGUUAUGUGUUUCUAUUUAAUAAAAAGUGUUCCGUAUUCAA